ACAAUUACAAAAGUGGACAUUUGGGUCACUGAUAAAAAUUGCUCUCUCUCUCUCUCUCUCCCCCGCCGCAGCUGCCGCGUGCCACCGCCCGUCACCAUCUCGCCGGCUAAUUCCCUAGUCAGGUUAACCGAAGUCACACCUGUUGUGUUGCUUCUCAGAAUCCCCAAAGAUGACAAAGGGAACGGCAAUGUCAUCUACUACUGUUUCAAUUUUUGGAAAAGAGAUCAAUAUAGAAGUUUGUGAAGAAAAAAUCUAUUCAGAAGGUGAAUCUAUCAGUAAGUUGGAUGAUGACGCGCUCAUUCAGAUUCUUUGUUGGUUGCCCCUAAAAGAUGCAGCAAGAACAAGUGUCCUCUCACGUAGAUGGCGGUACUUAUGGCGCAGUUCACUCAUGCCACCGUUGAAUACUUUGUAAAUUUCCAUCAAGGAUUGAAUGCAAGUAACCCGUACUCGUAAAUGAAUUUUGUGACAGACGAGUAUAGAACAAAUGCUGUGAAGAUCUUAUAUAAAGAUGAAGAAAAUCAAAGAGAAGGCAGAGAAGCUAGCAAAGUUACCUCCUUUUUUUACUUCAUUUUUAAAGUACUUUUAGAAAAGUUUGGAGCAGCACAGUAUUAGACUUUUUACCCCCAACCCCCCAACCCCACCCCACCCCACCCCACCCACCCCGACCCCCCCAAACUCCCCCUUUAAAAUCGAUGUGAUACUUUAGUAUAUGGAAUUGCAUGAAAUGUAAUCAAAGCAUUCAUUCAAUUUGGAGAUA